AGGGCGUACGGCGAAUGCCUUGCCACUCGAAACUGAAGAAGGACGCGCCAAACUGCGAAAAGCUCCGUGAAGCUGUAAGGAAGCGAAGAAGCGGAGGUGUCCGAAUGGGGGAACCCGGCAGCAGACAUGAGCUGUCAUCUGCAGGUGAAUACAUGGCCUGCAAGAGAGGUACCCGGCGAACUGAAACAUCUAAGUAGCCGGAGGAAAAGAAAACAACAGUGAUUCCCUGAGUAGCGGCGAGCGAAAGGGGAGAAGCCCAAACCGGUUGAAGGACCGGGGUUGAAGGACCAUGACAUGGCAAGAACGAGGAUAGGAGAACGGGAUCGAAAGCCCGGCCGAAGAAGGUGAAAGCCCUGUAACCGAAAUCCGAGCAAAGCCUAAUGGGAUCCUGAGUACGGCGAGACACGAGAAAUCUUGUCGGAAGCAGGCGGGACCAUCCGCCAAGGCUAAAUAUAAACGAGUGAGCGAUAGUGAACCAGUACCGUGAGGGAAAGGUGAAAAGAACCGCGGGAGCGGAGUGAAAGAGAACCUGAAACCGUAUGCCUACAAGAAGUCAGAGCCCGUUAAGGGGUGAUGGCGUGCCUUUUGUAGAAUGAACCGGCGAGUUGCGACAGACUGCGAGGUUAAGGAGGAAAGACCGGAGCCGAAGCGAAAGCGAGUCUUAAGAGGGCGAAAGUAGGAUGUUGCAGACCCGAAACCGGGUGAUCUAGCCAUGAGCAGGUUGAAGUUGAGGUGAAACUCAAUGGAGGACCGAACCGACUACCGUUGAAAAGUUAGCGGAUGACUUGUGGCUAGGGGAGAAAUUCCAAUCGAACCCGGAGAUAGCUGGUUCUCCCCGAAAUAGCUUUAGGGCUAGCGUCGGAAAGAACCUUAGUGAAGGUAGAGCACUGAAUGUGUGAUGGCCCCAUCCCGGGGUACUGAAUACAAUCAAACUGCGAAUGUCAUUAAGGAUGUCCGGCAGUCAGACUGUGAGUGAUAAGGUCCAUGGUCAAGAGGGAAACAGCCCAGACCGCCAGUUAAGGUCCCAAAAUACAGGCUAAGUGGAAAAGGAUGUGGGGAUGCCCAGACAACUAGGAGGUUGGCUCAGAAGCAGCCAUCCUUUAAAGAGUGCGUAACAGCUCACUAGUCGAGUGACCCUGCGCCGAAAAUGUACCGGGGCUAAGCCUGAUACCGAAACUGCGGAUUGUAGGAAACUAUAGUGGUAGGGGAGCGUUGUAUACGAGCAGAAGCCGUACCGUGAGGAGCGGUGGAUUGUAUAGAAGUGAGAAUGCCGGUGUGAGUAGCGAGAUGUAGGUGAGAAUCCUACACACCGAAAGCCCAAGGAUUCCAGGGGAAGGUUCGUCCGCCCUGGGUAAGUCGGGACCUAACGCGAGGCCGAAAGGCGUAGUGGAUGGAAAGCAGGUGAAAGAUUCCUGCACCCGUAUAUGGAGCGAAGGAGUGACGGAGACGGAUAGUGUGACCCUCUUAAUGGAUUGAGGGCGAAGCGAAGCGGCUGGUUACCAGGCAAAUCCGGUAACCUUAAGGCUAGAGCGUGACAGGUAAGCGAAAUCUACGGAAAGUAGCGAAGCACAUGAUGACGGCUUCCAGGAAAAGCUUCUGGCAAUGCAUAUGCGGCCCGUACCAAAACCGACACAGGUGGGCAGGGAGAGAAUCCCGAGGUGAGCGAGAGAACUGUUGCCAAGGAACUCGGCAAAAUGACUCCGUAAGUUAGCGAGAAGGAGUGCUUAAGCAAUUAAGCCGCAGUGAAGAGGCCCAAGCGACUGUUUAACUAAAACACAGCUCUCUGCGAAGUCGCAAGACGAAGUAUAGGGGGUGACACCUGCCCGGUGCUGGAAGGUUAAGAGGAUCUGUUAAGAGCGAUCUGAAGCAGUGAUCCGAAGCCCCAGUGAACGGCGGCCGUAACUAUAACGGUCCUAAGGUAGCGAAAUUCCUUGUCAGGUAAGUUCUGACCCGCACGAAAGGCGUAACGAUUUGGGCGCUGUCUCAGCUGUAGACUCGGUGAAGUCUUAGUACCUGUGAAGAUGCAGGUUACCCGCGACUAGACGGAAAGACCCCAUGGAGCUUCACUGCAGGUUGAUAUUGGGAUUUGAUGCAGCAUGUACAGGAUAGGUAGGAGGCAAAGAGAUGGAUACGCCAGUAUUCAAGGAGCCGCUGUUGGGAUACUACCCCUGUUGUAUUGGAUUUCUAACCGGACGACGUAGAGCCGUUGACGGGACAGUGUCAGUCGGGCAGUUUGACUGGGGCGGUCGCCUCCCAAAGAGUAACGGAGGCGCCCAAAGAUACCCUCAGCUUGGAUGGAAACCAAGCGCAGAGUGCAAAGGCAAAAGGGUGUUUGACUGCGAGACCCACAAGUCGAGCAGGGACGAAAGUCGGGCUUAGUGAUCCGGCGGUGCUGAAUGGAAAGGCCGUCGCUCAACGGAUAAAAGCUACCCUGGGGAUAACAGGCUGAUCUCCCCCAAGAGUUCACAUCGACGGGGAGGUUUGGCACCUCGAUGUCGGCUCAUCGCAUCCUGGAGCUGAAGUCGGUUCCAAGGGUUGGGCUGUUCGCCCAUUAAAGCGGUACGCGAGCUGGGUUCAGAACGUCGUGAGACAGUUCGGUCCCUAU
rnacentral:rRNA from 1 species